GCGGCGCCUCAAGUGCGAGUUUUGUGGCUGUGACUUCAGUGGGGAGGCCUAUGAGAGCCAUGAGGGUAUGUGCCCCCAGGAGAGUGUCUACUGUGAGAAUAAGUGUGGUGCCCGCAUGAUGCGGCGGCUGCUGGCCCAGCAUGCCACCUCUGAGUGCCCCAAGCGCACUCAGCCCUGCACCUACUGCACUAAGGAGUUCGUCUUUGACACCAUCCAGAGCCACCAGUACCAGUGCCCAAGGCUGCCUGUUGCCUGCCCCAACCAAUGUGGUGUGGGCACUGUGGCUCGGGAGGACCUGCCAGGCCAUCUGAAGGACAGCUGUAACACCGCCCUGGUGCUCUGCCCAUUCAAAGACUCCGGCUGCAAGCACAGGGUGAGAUGCCCCUUUUCCUGUCAGCCCCCAUUUGCCCUUGAAGCCCUAGACAGAGGCUCAGCUUCUGAUGCCACUUA
rnacentral:sRNA from 1 species